CCUACGGGUGGCUGCAGUGAGGAAUAUUGGUCAAUGGACGAGAGUCUGAACCAGCCAAGUAGCGUGAAGGAUGACUGCCCUAUGGGUUGUAAACUUCUUUUAUAUGGGAAUAAAACGUUCCACGUGUGGGAUUUUGUAUGUACCCUAUGAAUAAGGAUCGGCUAACUCCGUGCCAGCAGCCGCGGUAAUACGGAGGAUCCGAGCGUUAUCCGGAUUUAUUGGGUUUAAAGGGAGCGUAGGUGGAAUGUUAAGUCAGUUGUGAAAGUUUGCGGCUCAACCGUAAAAUUGCAGUUGAAACUGGCAGUCUUGAGUACAGUAGAGGUGGGCGGAAUUCGUGGUGUAGCGGUGAAAUGCUUAGAUAUCACGAAGAACUCCGAUUGCGAAGGCAGUUCACUGGACUGCAACUGACACUGAGGCUCGAAAGUGUGGGUAUCAAACAGGAUUAGAUACCCCUGUAGUC
rnacentral:rRNA from 1 species